rnacentral:rRNA from 1 species
CCUACGGGUGGCAGCAGUGGGGAAUAUUGCACAAUGGGGGAAACCCUGAUGCAGCGACGCCGCGUGAAGGAAGAAGUAUUUCGGUAUGUAAACUUCUAUCAGCAGGGAAGAAAAUGACGGUACCUGACUAAGAAGCCCCGGCUAACUACGUGCCAGCAGCCGCGGUAAUACGUAGGGGGCAAGCGUUAUCCGGAUUUACGGGGUGUAAAGGGAGCGUAGGCGGCGAUGCAAGUCAGAGGGAAAGCCCGGGGCUCAACUCCGGGACUGCUUUUGAAAAUGUAUGGCUAGAUUUCAGGAGAGGCAAGUGGAAUUCCUAGUGUAGCGGUGAAAUGCGUAGAUAUUAGGAGGAACACCGGUGGCGAAGGCGGCUUGCUGGACUGUAAAUGACGCUGAGGCUCGAAAGCGUGGGGAGCGAACAGGAUUAGAUACCCGUGUAGUC